AAGUCGUAACAAGGUUUCCGUAGGUGAACCUGCGGAAGGAUCAUUAACACGUUUCGUUCCGAACGUUUUGACCCUCCUAUUUUCCGUGCACCCAAACGCGUCCGGCCUCUCAGCCGCUCACUGGGUUUACUCAGUGUUGCCUGUUGGGCGUCAAUCGGGAUCCAAGGAAUGUGUGUUUGGCGCAAGUCAGUACACGUUUCUCCUGAUGGGCGUUGCCACCUCACCCAAACCCUUUAAUCUAACUGAUCUGAACUUUUAGUUGACGCGGAGAGGCAACUUUCCAAAUCAGCGACUUGAACAAACAACAACUCUUAACAACGGAUAUCUUGGUUCUC
rnacentral:misc_RNA from 1 species